rnacentral:lncRNA from 1 species
AAAAACAUUGAAACUUAUGAUCGUGUUUUAAACUAUCUAUACACUUAUCCACGCGUAGCGUGGACAAAGACUCUAGUUUAUAGAAUAACAAAAAAGGGUAAUUAGAUUUUUAAAAAGAGGGAAGAGAGAGAUAAGAAGAAAAAAGAAGAGAGAAAGCAAAAUUUUAGUUAAAUAGUGAAUUAUAUUAUUUUUUUUGUUAUUGAGCCUAAUUUUCUCUUAAGUUAUUAAGUGAACAAAAAAAAAGAAUCCGGGAAGAUGAUUAAAAAAAAAACCAAAACCCUAAUGCUUAAACCUACUUUUUCAAUAAAUUUAAAAUUUCACCCAAAAAAAAAACCUACUCUUCGCAGGAUUACAUAGUUGGUCAACAAUAAACAAAUAGAAAGUUGGAAACUAGUCAAUAUGAACAAAUGUGUAGACAAAAUUUAAAUAGGAAGUUGGAAAGGAGAAAAGCUAAAUUUGAAAGAUGUACAAGUAAAGGCAUGACUGGUUUUUCCGCUAUCAUCCGCAAACACAACUUUUGCGGUUGGUAGCAGUUGUUAGUGUUUUGCAAUAAUCACUCAAAUACCUUCAAAC